ACCAAUAUACACUCACCACUCUCAAUUGAUACCCACACAGAAGUUUCCAAAGAAAAAACACAUACAUACACACAGAAACACACACUCUUCCAUUCUCAUACUCACGACCUACACACCUCCACCACCAUUUUUAUGGCCUGAUCUGCACAACCUUACUUACACCGCCUAACCACCACCAGUAAUACAUCAACAAUAUCAACUUUAAACCACCCCUAGAACUCUUCUACAUACAUCGGACAUGUGAGAUUGAAGAGAGACAGAGAAAGAUGAUGGUGAGCUUAAAUCAACUGAAGAGUGGAGAAAAAUGAAGGGAGAUCUAG
rnacentral:lncRNA from 1 species